rnacentral:rRNA from 1 species
CGGUACCUCUCAUGGUUUCGCGGCCGAAGGUAAACUGAUAAGUGUGCCGCCUGGGGAGUACGGUCGCAAGGCUAAAACUCAAAGGAAUUGACGGGGGCUCACACAAGCGGUGGAGCAUGUUGCUUAAUUCGGGGCAACGCGAAGAACCUUACCUAGGCUUGACAUGUAUGGAUUAGCAUUAUGAAAGUUUUGUGACACUCUUGAGUGGAACAUACACAGGUGCUGCAUGGCUGUCGUCAGCUCGUGCUGUGAAGUGUCGGGUUAAGUCCCUUAACGAGCGCAACCCCUAUCGUUAGUUACUAACGCGUUAUGGCGAGGACUCUAGCGAGACUGCCGGUGUCAAACCGGAGGAAGGUGGGGAUGACGUCAAGUCAGCAUGGCCCUUAUGCCUAGGGAUGCAAACGUGCUACAAUGGCACGGACAAAGCGAUGCAAUACCGCGAGGUGGAGCAAAUCGCAAAAACCGUGCCCCAGUCCGGAUAGCAGGCUGAAAUUCGCCUGCUUGAAGCCGGAAUCGCUAGUAAUCGCGUAUCAGCUACGACGCGGUGAAUACGUUCCUGAGCCUUGUACACACCGCCCGUCAAGUCAUGGAAGCUGUUAGUGCCCGAAGUCACCUCGUUUCAGGGGUGCCUACGGCAAGAAUGGUGACUGGGACUAAGUCGUAACAAGGUAGCCG